GGCCUCCCUAAGUGCUGGGAUUAUAGGUGUGAACCACUGCUCCCAGCCUCCUCCAUUUUCUUUGCAGCGCUUGUCUAUUUCUUCUCAUCCUUUCUUCCUCUGUCACACUGUUUUCACCACUUCCUCUGUACUUUCAAAAUCAGCCCUCUGUUUGCCUUGCCCAAAUCUUGUCUCCCUUCUAUUCUGCCUUCCCUGUAGUUAUUUGUAAAGUUUCAUUCGUGUUGACAUGUGAAAAUUCUGACUUUUGUCCUAUGUUGUAUCUGUGAGCUCUCCUUAUCCUCCCCAUUAUCUCCUUACUAUAAUCACCAAAGAUUUAUUCCUUUAAUUUAUAAAAAGCAGAUUCUACAAGCCUCAUGAAUCAACCGAAUGCUCUGGAAGGUACACAGGUGUAGAGGCACUGAAAACAAAAUCUGGAUGAUACAGCCGUCUGCUAAACUCCCAGGCCUUCAGAGUAGAACUGGAAUUGUACCACCAGCUCUUCUGAGUCUCCAGCUGGCAGACAGCAGGUGACGGGACUUCUUAGCCUCCAUGGUCAUGCCCCAGAUCAAGACGCAUCACAUCCAAGGAACCAUGUGCAGAAUUGAUAUGGAGUUUGAUGCCAUGAUUGAAUGAGAGUUUGAGGGUCUUGGGAGGGUGCGAGCAUAUUUUGCAUGUAGAAGGGAUGUGAAUAAUUAAGACCAGAGGACAGACUGAGACAAAUUAAUUACACCUGUUGAACCUGUGCCCACAUCCUUUGCAAUGUGACUUUGUUGCUCUUCCCUUGGAUUUGGUUGAAUUUGCUAAUUGCUUUUACCAAUAUCAUAUGGAGGGAGUAAUGCUAUGCCAGUUCUGUGCUUAGGACUUGAGACCUUUCACACUUCUACUUUCUCUUGGAAUCCUGCCUCCUCUAUGAGAACAAAGUUGACAAGUAUGCUAGAGUAUGAGAGACAAAUGACUUAGUUGUCACUGUCACCCCAUAGCUAUGACCGUAGAAAUCCACUAACCCUGAAAGCAGAGCCACCUAGCCAACCUGUAGCUAACUGCAGACAUAUACUGGAGCACAACCAAGACCAGACGAACCACACAGCUAAGCCCAGGCUAAAUUGCCAGCCUGAAGAAUUGUGAACUAAAUAAAUGUUUGUUGUUUUAAG
rnacentral:lncRNA from 10 species